AGGACGAACGCUGGCGGCGUGCUUAACACAUGCAAGUCGAGCGGAAAGGCCCUUCGGGGUACUCGAGCGGCGAACGGGUGAGUAACACGUGAGCAACCUGCCCCUAGCUCUGGGAUAGCUCCGGGAAAACCGGGAUUAAUACCAGAUACGACCACUUUAGACAUCUGCUGUGGUGGAAAGGAUUCCGGCUAGGGAUGGGCUCGCGGCCUAUCAGCUUGUUGGUGGAGUAACGGCCCACCAAGGCGACGACGGGUAGCCGGCCUGAGAGGGCGACCGGCCACACUGGGACUGAGACACGGCCCAGACUCCUACGGGAGGCAGCAGUGGGGAAUAUUGCGCAAUGGGCGAAAGCCUGACGCAGCGACGCCGCGUGGGGGAUGAAGGCCUUCGGGUUGUAAACCCUUUCAGCAGGGACGAAGCGAAGUGACGGUACCUGCAGAAGAAGCGCCGGCUAACUACGUGCCAGCAGCCGC
rnacentral:rRNA from 1 species